rnacentral:rRNA from 1 species
UACAGAGGUCCCAAGCGUUGUUCGGAUUCAUUGGGCGUAAAGGGUGUGUAGGUGGCGCCGUAAGUCGGGUGUGAAAUUUCGGAGCUUAACUCCGAAACUGCAUCGAUACUGCGGUGCUUGAGGACUGGAGAGGAGACUGGAAUUCAUGGUGUAGCAGUGAAAUGCGUAGAGAUCAUGAGGAAGACCAGUGACGAAGGCGGGUCUCUGGACAGUUCCUGACACUGAGACACGAAGGCCAGGGGAGCAAACGGG